GGCCACCAUUCUCUGGACUACGGCGACAUAAACUCAAAUGUGCAAACAAUAGAAUCUGAGUAUAGACUGUGGAGGUUGGCUGGUUUGUUUUCGCUGUUUGGGUUUGUUGGUUUUUGAGUAUGUAUGUGUGUGGUGUGGACACUUUAUGUGAAAGCUGAACUCAAGGGUCUCCAAGAUUGCUCAGUGGCCUCUCUUCUAGCCCCUAAAACUAUCAAACGUGAAGGAGAGUGUUUUCUGUCAAGACUGCUCAUCUGCUUUCCCAUGAUCCUCCCUCGUCCAUGGGGAGGAAAUGCCCUCACACUAAAUAGGUUCUAUAUGAUUGUGAUGACUCAGCCAGAGAAGAGAGAAAAACUUCUGUCUCUGGCCAAGACCGUAAGUCUAGAUUCAAAGAUGGAAGGUUUUCUCCCUGCUCUGUCAGUGGCUUAUUCUCUCGCUUAGCCGUGCUGGAGUCCAGAAGAAUCCAGCGCCCUGUGCUCUCAAGACAAGCAUUCUACCACCGAACUGUGUCUCAGCCACUGUGGGGGAGUGUCAUUUGGUUUUGGCUUGUUCUAUUUCUACCCCAUAAGUUUUGUUUUCCACGUAAUUAAUUUUGUUGCUGUUCAUGCUGUAUUAGGGUAUUGAAUCCAAAGCACAUAGUAGGCUCAUGUUUUACCACUGAGUCCUAAUUGUAGCCCUAAAAGAAAAAUGUAAUAUAGCCCUGACUUUCAAGAAGGGAUUAAAAAAAAUAAAUGUCCUAAUGCACUUUUC
rnacentral:lncRNA from 1 species